GAUGAACGCUGGCGGCGUGCUUAACACAUGCAAGUCGAACGAACCUUCGGGUUAGUGGCGGACGGGUGAGUAACGCGUGAGAAUCUGCCCUCAGGAGGGGGAUAACGGCUGGAAACGGCCGCUAAUACCCCAUAUGCCGCGAGGUGAAAUGAAUUUCGCCUGAGGAUGAGCUCGCGUUUGAUUAGCUAGUUGGUGGGGUAAAGGCCUACCAAGGCAUCGAUCAGUAGCUGGUUUGAGAGGAUGAUCAGCCCCACUGGGACUGAGACACGGCCCAGACUCCUACGGGAGGCAGCAGUGGGGAAUUUUCCGCAAUGGGCGAAAGCCUGACGGAGCAACGCCGCGUGAGGGAUGAAGGCCUUUGGGCUGUAAACCUCUUUUAUCAAGGAAGAAGAUUUGACGGUAAGUGAUGAAUAAGCCACGGCUAAUUCCGUG
rnacentral:rRNA from 1 species